UCUAAUGCAAAUAACUAGUUCAGACAUGUUCAUACAUAAGACAAAAAUAAUAUAGAAAUGUAUUUUAUGUGCUAUUUUAUUUAUUGGCAGAUAAUUAAGAGAAACUUAUUUUAUUCUUUGAAUUCCUAAAUUUAUUGCAUAUAGAUUGUAAUCUUUUGUUGGUAAUGGAUAUUAAUUAUUCGCUUAAAAAAAUCCACCUGGAUAUAUUUGAGACUAACAUUCUAUUAAUUCUAACUGACAGAGACAAUUGUGAUAAAGAUGGAAUAUCUUUAUCUAAAAGUUCUAGUGCUGUUGAUUAUUGUAUUUGGUCAUUUCAAUUUUUCAAAUGUUGUAAUUAUGCCUGUAGAUAUUAUGUUGUAAUUAUGCAAUCAUGUACAUAUUUUUUCCGUCUCAAUGCACACUGUUAAUUGACAUUUUGAAAAUGACACAAUAUUGAUGCAAACAUUAAUGUAAGAAUUGAGAUGGAA
rnacentral:lncRNA from 1 species